rnacentral:tRNA from 1 species
GCUCAGUCGGUUAAGUGUCUGACUCUUGAUUGCAGCUCAGGUCAUGAUCUCGUGGUUUGUGGGUUCAAGCCCCACAUUGGGCU